rnacentral:rRNA from 1 species
UACGAAGGGGGCUAGCGUUGCUCGGAAUCACUGGGCGUAAAGCGCACGUAGGCGGAUUGUUAAGUCGGGGGUGAAAUCCUGGAGCUCAACUCCAGAACUGCCUUCGAUACUGGCGAUCUCGAGUUCGGGAGAGGUGAGUGGAACUGCGAGUGUAGAGGUGAAAUUCGUAGAUAUUCGCAAGAACACCAGUGGCGAAGGCGGCUCACUGGCCCGGAUACUGACGCUGAGGUGCGAAAGCGUGGGGAGCAAACAGG